GUAGGUGAACCUGCGGAAGGAUCAUUAACUUAAUUUAUGAAUGUGUAUUUUCUGUUUGCAUGCAAAUGUCGAUGGUUGAUAUGCGUUUAUUUAUCAAAACCAAAAUUUACAAUCCGUGAAACUAAAAAACAAAACACGAACGUGGAGUGCAGCCUCGAUAGCAAUAUCGCCUGUGCUUCAUUUGAGUACCAAUUCCACCAAACAAUUUUUAACUUUAUUAACCCCAUUACCGUAGUGAAUGUUUUCGAAU
rnacentral:misc_RNA from 1 species